CUGAGUACCGGGUCUCUCAGGCCCUUACUCCCACCCUCUGUGUACCUUACCACUUAUUCAGUUGCCUUGGCGGGAACCUCCCCCCUCGGACCGCUAGCCCGGUCCCUGGACGAGGCCCGCCAGGGGGACUCACCAAAACUCUUUUGAAUCGGGUUGUCUGAGAACAAAUCUAAUAGAUUA
rnacentral:misc_RNA from 1 species